rnacentral:rRNA from 1 species
UACGUAGGUGGCAAGCGUUGUCCGGAAUUAUUGGGCGUAAAGCGCGCGCAGGCGGUCCUUUAAGUCUGAUGUGAAAGCCCACGGCUCAACCGUGGAGGGUCAUUGGAAACUGGGGGACUUGAGUGCAGGAGAGAAGAGUGGAAUUCCACGUGUAGCGGUGAAAUGCGUAGAGAUGUGGAGGAACACCAGUGGCGAAGACGGCUAUCUGGACGGUUUCUGACGCUAAGACGCGAAAGCGUGGGGAGCAAACAGG